AACACUGUUAACCUGCGGUACCUGCGGAGGGAUCAUUACCGAGUUUACAACUCCCAAACCCCUGUGAACAUACCUAUACGUUGCCUCGGCGGAUCAGCCCGCGCCCUGUAAAAAGGGACGGCCCGCCCGAGGACCCUAAACUCUGUUUUUAGUGGAACUUCUGAGUAAAACAAACAAAUAAAUCAAAACUUUCAACAACGGAUCU
rnacentral:misc_RNA from 1 species